rnacentral:rRNA from 1 species
GAGUUUGAUCAUGGCUCAGGAUGAACGCUGGCGGCGUGCCUAAUACAUGCAAGUCGAGCGAACAGACGGGGAGCUUGCUCCCCUGACGUUAGCGGCGGACGGGUGAGUAACACGUGGGUAACCUACCUAUAAGACUGGAAUAACUCCGGGAAACCGGGGCUAAUGCCGGAUAACAUGUUGGACCGCAUGGCCCUACAGUGAAAGACGGUCUUGCUGUCACUUAUAGGUGGACCCGCGCCGUAUUAGCUAGUUGGUAAGGUAACGGCUUACCAAGGCAACGAUACGUAGCCGACCUGAGAGGGUGAUCGGCCACACUGGAACUGAGACACGGUCCAGACUCCUACGGGAGGCAGCAGUAGGGAAUCUUCCGCAAUGGGCGAAAGCCUGACGGAGCAACGCCGCGUGAGUGAUGAAGGCCUUCGGUCGUAGAACUCUGUUAUUA